GGCCCUGAUCUGACUUUUUAAAAGCUUCUUACUCUCCUGAAAUUUCUAGUUACCAAAUAGAAAGACCCAAAAUUCAGAAAACUAGGGCUCAACAAUGGUAGAAUAAUGAAGAGAACUUUCUGGAUAAUGGCUGUAAAACAGGGCUGGGAAAACACCUAAUUCAGAUGAAAGCCACUAACAGGAGUUCACUAAGAAGGAGUCUCCAGGCAAACUAUCACCUAAUGCUUGGAGUGGAAGAAAAUUACUGACAGUUUAAAAUUUAAGAAACCUUUAACAAAUCCAAGUUUUUUUUCUGUGUUUUCUGCUGUAAGUUUAGCUCUUGUGUUUAGAUAAAUGAUCAGUUUUGCCCU